UACGUAGGGUGCAAGCGUUGUCCGGAAUUAUUGGGCGUAAAGAGCUUGUAGGCGGUUUGUCGCGUCUGCUGUGAAAUUUCGGGGCUCAACCCCGAACUUGCAGUGGGUACGGGCAGACUAGAGUGUGGUAGGGGAGACUGGAAUUCCUGGUGUAGCGGUGAAAUGCGCAGAUAUCGGGAGGAACACCGGUGGCGAAGGCGGUUCUCUGGGCCUUACCUGACGCUGAGACGCGAAAGCGUGGGGAGCGAACAGG
rnacentral:rRNA from 1 species